rnacentral:rRNA from 1 species
GACGAACGCUGGCGGCAUGCCUAAUACAUGCAAGUCGAACGAGGAUAUUCUCUGCUUGCAGAGAAUUGAAGAGUAGCGAACGGGUGAGUAACACGUGGGGAACCUGCCCAUGAGAGGGGGAUAACAUUCGGAAACGGAUGCUAAUACCGCAUAAUGCUUUGGACCGCCUGGUCCAGAGACGAAAGACGGCUUUUGCCGUCACUCAUGGAUGGCCCCGCGCCGUAUUAGCUAGUUGGUGAGGUAAUGGCUCACCAAAGCUGUGAUACGUAGCCGACCUGAGAGGGUGAUCGGCCACACUGGGACUGAGACACGGCCCAGACUCCUACGGGAGGCAGCAGUAGGGAAUCUUCCGCAAUGGGCGAAAGCCUGAUGGAGCAAUGCCGCGUGAAUGAAGAAGGUCUUCGGAUCGUAAAGUUCUGUUAUUAGAGAAGAACAAGUGAAGGAGUAACUGUCUUGACUUUGACGGUACCUAACCAGAAAGUCACGGCUAACUACGUG